UAAUUGAAGAGUUUGAUCAUGGCUCAGAUUGAACGCUGGCGGCAGGCCUAACACAUGCAAGUCGAGCGGUAACAGGGGAAGCUUGCUUCUCGCUGACGAGCGGCGGACGGGUGAGUAAUGUAUGGGGAUCUGCCCGAUAGAGGGGGAUAACUACUGGAAACGGUAGCUAAUACCGCAUAAUCUCUCAGGAGCAAAGCAGGGGAACUUCGGUCCUUGCGCUAUCGGAUGAACCCAUAUGGGAUUAGCUA
rnacentral:rRNA from 1 species